rnacentral:rRNA from 1 species
AACGGAGGGGGCAAGUGUUAUUCAGCAUGAUUGGGCGUAAAGGGCGCGUAGGCGGUUAAGAAGGAUAAGAACGAAAUCUUCCGGGUUUGCCGGAGAACGGGUUUAUUACCACUUAACUUGGAGUCGGGGAGAGGAUGACAGUAUUCUUGCAGGAGAGGUGAAAUUCGCAAAUAGCAAGAAGACUCACACUAAGCGAAAGCGGUUAUCCGGAACGAGACUGACGCUGAGGCGCGAAAGCGUGGGGAGCGAAUGGG